UGUCUGCUUGUUCCGGGGUAGAGACAGGGUAGCUGGGCCCCUUCAGCGGCGCAGAAGUUCUUGGGGCUUCACAACUCCUUGUGGACCUAAUGGGGCUGCGGGAGACCAGCCAGCCCAUCUUCAUCGUCCUCCUGCUUUGCCGGCUGGGUGUCUCCUGCAGAGCUGACAGCUGCAACUUUGAGAAGCCACCACUGUACCCAGAUGGAGCCUCAGGCGCCUCAGGACCCAGGAACUUGAGUUGCUACAGGGUUUCCGGGGCAGACUAUGAAUGUUCCUGGCAUUACGAUGGCUCUGAGGACAAUGUCACGCACUUCCUGAGGUGCUGCUUCAGUGGUGGACGCUGCUGCUACUUUCCCGCAGGCCGUUCCAGGACUGUGCAGUUCUCGGAACAGGCUGGUGUCCCUGUGCUGUCUACCGUCACAUUCUGGGUGGAGUCUCGGCUCAGCAACUGGACCAUGAAGUCUCUGGAGAUAUCCCUGUACCUGUCUGAGUGGAGUGAGCUCCCUUUCUUACCUGUCCCUCUGUCACCCAGGUCCAGGAUGAAGGACUGGGCAUUGCAGUGUGACAAGAAAGUCUUGCUGCUUGGGAAUAAAUAGCUUAUCACUGGGCUCUUAGGUUUCUUCUGGUAAAGCCUGAUCCUCUGCUCCCCACAGUCCUGGGAGCCCCUCCUGGGAGCUGUGUGUUUUCAUGACUCAGUGUGUCUUUGACAGAGUCCUGUCCUGAGUGUGCAUGCUGAGGAUGUGGGUU
rnacentral:lncRNA from 1 species